CUUUGAAGACGGAGGAAGGGACUGUGGGCCAAGGAAUAUGGGCAGCCUGGAGAAGCCGGAAAAGCAGCCCUUCCUCUCUCUGUGGCCCAGAUGAUGUGUCCAAGAGCCCAGGCUGAGGACAGACUCUCCCGGGCUGAAGUCAGAAUCACCUCUGGCCUGCGAUGCCUAACAUCUUCCUCCUGGCUUGGCUCACCGCCUGGCUCCCUCCCUGGAAGGAAUUCUCCUACGCCCCUUACAGCGCCUGGAGGAAGAGCGGAGAGGCGGCUGCCGGCCCCAUCCCAGGCCCCUUCGCCCCCAGCCCCAGGCUGUGUUGAGAGGCGCCACAGGCUCCACCAGCAGCAGGGUGGCUGACGAAACGCCCAGCUAUUUAGACAAACAAGUGUUCAGGGCGAAGGCAGCCUCCCUCCCUCGGCAGCCCCAGCCCUCCCUUCCUGCCAGAGUCGGGGCUGAUUCCCUCGGAUGAUGCUAAUGAACAGCUCAUAAGUACUAACAAGCUCCUUGGCACCCGGAAGCCAGGCAGAGUAACUUCCAACGUGAAUUUGGGCCACGUCUAGACCCCAGCGCAGUUUCAGGAUUUUCAAUUGAUGAGUCUGCGUGGCACAAGACGUGAGAGGGGGCUCUCCGCGGCUCCCAGAAAGUGGGCUCCUUACGGCCACAUUGGGCCCCUCGCAGACCCGUUUCUAGGUCGUGAGACUUCCCCCCGACAGACAGGCACGAGCCCUGAAACCGUCCCUGAGACCCGGAAUGCGGAGCUGGUUCCAGAAAGUCCAAGAUGGCUUCUUGGUCUCAGAGAACAUUUACGUGGGGAUGGGAAGCAAGGAUCACGAAGACGUCCCUACCCAGCCCCUGCCCCGCCCCCGGCUAAAGCUGCCUGUCAGUGGGUGCAAUCCUCUGAACUGUGCUCGGGCCUUCGGCGGACUGAGAAGACUUCAUUAUGGAUGCGUAAGGUUAAUUCGACCUAUUUCCCUGAGCACUGUUGUGUUUUCAUGAGGAAACUUCUCUCAGGAGAGAGCUGGAUGAAAUAACACCUCUGUCCUCCUCUCCUACUCCCGCCGCGGGGGCCACAUGCCUCUUUCCCAGGUCUUGGACUCCCAGUUACUGCCUUGAGAUCUGAGCGUCUGUAGAUACUGCCGGGUUAGUGAGCCCAGGGGAAGACUGGGGAGGAAUUGACGAACAACUGUGUCUGCACUUUGCACUUCCUUGGCCUGAGUCACCAGGCAAGCUCAUCUCUCCUCCCUAAGAAAUGCGGAGGACGCAGGCCUGGGCGUGCCAUCUCUGGGACGUAGCCAGCCCCAGAUUCUCUGCCUGCUGAGUGACCUGGCCAACUCACACAGGUAGUGCCCGUGUGUUCUUGGAAAAGAAGCACCAAAGUGGAAGAGGAGGUGGAGGGAAGCUAGAAAGGAGCAUUUUUCUAGGACCCUCUGCCCAAAAUUAAAAGUUUGCUGGGGGGCCGGGCCCCGUGGCUGAGUAGUUAAAGUUCUAUGCGCUCCACUUCCACAGCCAGGGGUUCAUGGGUUCGGAUCCAGUGAACCCAUGGGCACAGACCUACUCCACUCAUCAGGCAUGCUGUGGAGGCGUCCCACAUACAAAGUGGAGGAAGAUUGGCAGGGAUGUUAGCUCAGGGCUAAUCUUCCAGACAGAAAAAAAAGUUUGCUGAGAAAUGCCUCUGAUGGCUUUAAAUGUCACAGAUGAUUUACUCCAGGAGGGACCCAGUCCACACUGGACUCGGCCCCUGUGUACUGAUUCUUGCCUUUCCCCAGCGCCAGCCCUCAGCAGCAUAACGUUUACAUGUGGGUAUCUGCAAGUGGAGCCCAGAAGAAGCCUUUCCUCCCACACGAGUAGAGUGGAAACUUACAGAUUUAUCCCAGAGUUUAAAAAUUAAAUAAACAAAAGAAUGAAAGAAGAGAUGAUGAUAGAUAGAUCAUACAUACAUACAUACAUGUGUACGUACAUUUUCUCAGGUGCCAGGCCCCAGGCAAUAUUCCGGCUCAGAGCUCCACCUUCAGCACCUGACAGCGGGCCCAGCUCCAAGCUUCUUUCGUCUCAAAGUACCACAUAGCUCUUAAUCAAACAUCCCUAUGUGGGGGCUCCUGAUCCCUGAACUUAACGUUGACUCUCCAGUACAACAGAUAAAUAACGGUUUGCUCCAUGAAGCCAGGAAAAACAAAAUCCUUACCUACAAAUGUC
ensembl:lncRNA